rnacentral:rRNA from 1 species
UACGUAGGGUGCGAGCGUUGUCCGGAAUUAUUGGGCGUAAAGGGCUCGUAGGCGGUCUGUUGCGUCGGGAGUGAAAACUCAGGGCUUAACCCUGAGCCUGCUUCCGAUACGGGCAGACUAGAGGUAUGCAGGGGAGAACGGAAUUCCUGGUGUAGCGUGAAAUGCGCAGAUAUCAGGAGGAACACCGGUGGCGAAGGCGGAUCUCUGGGCCGUAACUGACGCUGAGGAGCGAAAGCAUGGGGAGCGAACAGG